CAGUCGCCGCGGGAAUACGAAGGGGGCUAGCGUUGCUCGGAAUGACUGGGCGUAAAGGGCGCGUAGGCGGUUUGUACAGUUGGAUGUGAAAUUCCUGGGCUUAACCUGGGGGCUGCAUUCAAUACGUGCAGGCUUGAGUGUGGAAGAGGGUUGUGGAAUUCCCAGUGUAGAGGUGAAAUUCGUAGAUAUUGGAAAGAACACCGGUGGCGAAGGCGGCGACCUGGUCUUUUACUGACGCUGAGGCGCGAAAGCGUGGGGAGCAAACAGGAUUAGAUACCCCUGUAGUCCCUGUCUCUUAUAA
rnacentral:rRNA from 1 species